CCUACGGGAGGCAGCAGUGAGGAAUAUUGGUCAAUGGACGCAAGUCUGAACCAGCCAUGCCGCGUGCAGGAAGACGGCUCUAUGAGUUGUAAACUGCUUUUGUACAAGGGUACACGUGGAUACGCGUAUCUGUCUGAAAGUACCGUACGUAUAAGGAUCGGCUAACUCCGUGCCAGCAGCCGCGGUACUACGGAGGAUGCAAGGGUUAUCCGGAUUUAUUGGGUUGAAAGGGUGCGUAGGCGGUGGGUUAAGUUAGAGGUGAAAUCCCGGGGCUCAACUUCGGAAGUGCCGCUGAUACUGUUGGGCUAGAGAGUAGUUGCGGUAGGCGGAAUGUAUGGUGUAGCGGUGAAAUGCGUAGAGAUCAGACAGAACACCGAUUGUGAAGGCAGCUUACCAAGCUACUUCUGACGUUGAGGCACGAAAGCGUGGGGAGCAAACAGGAUUAGAUACCCUUGUAGUC
rnacentral:rRNA from 1 species